rnacentral:rRNA from 1 species
GACGAACGCUGGCGGCGUGCCUAACACAUGCAAGUCGAACGGGGUGAUUUCCUUCGGGAGAUCACUUAGUGGCGAACGGGUGAGUAACGCGUGAGGAACCUGCCUUUCAGUGGGGGACAACAGUUGGAAACGACUGCUAAUACCGCAUAAUGUAGCGAGACCGCAUGAUCUUGCUACCAAAGCUUUAUGUGCUGAAAGAUGGCCUCGCGUCUGAUUAGCUAGUUGGUGGGUAACGGCCCACCAAGGCGACGAUCAGUAGCCGGUCUGAGAGGAUGAACGGCCACAUUGGGACUGAGAUACGGCCCAGACUCCUACGGGAGGCAGCAGUGGGGAAUAUUGGGCAAUGGGGGAAACCCUGACCCAGCAACGCCGCGUGAAGGAAG